rnacentral:piRNA from 1 species
AUAAUGUACCCAUGUAGACUAGCA